rnacentral:rRNA from 1 species
AGUGAACGCUGGCGGUAGGCCUAACACAUGCAAGUCGAACGGCAGCACAGGAAGAGCUUGCUCUUACGGGUGGCGAGUGGCGGACGGGUGAGGAAUACAUCGGAAUCUACUUUUUCGUGGGGGAUAACGUAGGGAAACUUACGCUAAUACCGCAUACGACGUACGGGUGAAAGCAGGGGAUCUUCGGACCUUGCGCGAUUGAAUGAGCCGAUGUCGGAUUAGCUAGUUGGCGGGGUAAAGGCCCACCAAGGCGACGAUCCGUAGCUGGUCUGAGAGGAUGAUCAGCCACACUCGAACUGAGACUCGGUCCAGACUCCUACGGGAGGCAGCCGUGGGGAAUAUUGGCCCAUGCGCGCAACCCUGAUCCAGCCAUACCGCGUGGUUGAAGAAGGCCUUCGGGUUGUAAAGCACUUUUGUUGGGAAAGAAAAGCAGCAGGUUACUCCCCCGCUUUUUUGCCGUUACACAACGAAUAAGCACCGGCUAACUUCGUG